GACGAACGCUGGCGGCGUGCCUAAUACAUGCAAGUCGAACGCAGUGGGGACGGGUGAGUAACAUGUGGGCAACCUCCCAUCAGAGGGGAUAACACUUGGAUACAGGUGCUAAACCGACACUGAUGUAUGGACUCGCGGUGAAUUAGCUAGUUGGAGGGGUAAAGGCUCACCAAGGCUACGAUGCAUAGCGGACCUGGGAGGGUGAUCGGCCACACUGGGACUGAGACACGGCCCAGACUCCUACGGGAGGCAGCAGUAGGGAAUCUUGGGCAAUGGACGAAAGUCUGACCGAGCAACGCCGCGUGAGUGAAGAAGGUUUUCGGGUCGUAAAACUCUUUUGUUAGAGAAGCGGUAUCUAACCAAGAAGCCACGGCUAACUACGUGCCAGCAGCCGCGGUAAUAC
rnacentral:rRNA from 1 species